ACUACGGGUGGCAGCAGUGAGGAAUAUUGGUCAAUGGGCGCGAGCCUGAACCCGCCAAGUAGCGUGAAGGAUGACUGUCCUACGGGUUGUAAACUUCUUUUAUAAAGGAAUAAAGUGAGGCACGUGUGCCUCUUUGUAUGUACUUUAUGAAUAAGGAUCGGCUAACUCCGUGCCAGCAGCCGCGGUAAUACGGAGGAUCCGAGCGUUAUCCGGAUUUAUUGGGUUUAAAGGGAGCGUAGAUGGUUUGUUAAGUCAGUUGUGAAAGUUUGCGGCUCAACAGUAAAAUUGCAAUUGAUACUGGCAGUCUUGAGUACAGUUGAGGUAGGCGGAAUUCGUGGUGUAGCAGUGAAAUGCGUAGAUAUCACGAAGAACUCCGAUUGCGAAGGCAGCUUACUAAACUGCCACUGACAUUGAUGCUCGAAAGUGUGGGUAUCAAACAGGAUUAGAUACCCCUGUAGUC
rnacentral:rRNA from 1 species